rnacentral:rRNA from 1 species
CCUACGGGUGGCUGCAGUGGGGAAUAUUGGACAAUGGGCGCAAGCCUGAUCCAGCCAUGCCGCGUGAGUGAUGAAGGUCUUAGGAUUGUAAAGCUCUUUCAGCAGGGAAGAUAAUGACGGUACCUGCAGAAGAAGCCCCGGCAAACUUCGUGCCAGCAGCCGCGGUAAUACGAAGGGGGCUAGCGUUGUUCGGAUUUACUGGGCGUAAAGCGCACGUAGGCGGACUAUUAAGUCAGGGGUGAAAUCCCGGGGCUCAACCCCGGAACUGCCUUUGAUACUGGUAGUCUUGAGUUCGAGAGAGGUGAGUGGAAUUCCGAGUGUAGAGGUGAAAUUCGUAGAUAUUCGGAGGAACACCAGUGGCGAAGGCGGCUCACUGGCUCGAUACUGACGCUGAGGUGCGAAAGCGUGGGGAGCAAACAGGAUUAGAUACCCUUGUAGUC